rnacentral:tRNA from 1 species
UGGGGUGUAGCCAAGUGGUAAGGCAGCGCCCUUUGGAGGCGCCAUUCGAUGGUUCGAAUCCAUCCACCCCAGCCA